rnacentral:rRNA from 1 species
GACGAACCGUGCGAACGUUGUUCGGAAUCACUGGGCUUAAAGGGCGCGUAGGCGGGCUAUCAAGUCUGGGGUGAAAUGCCACGGCUCAACCGUGGAACUGCCUCAGAUACUGACGGCCUCGAGGGAGAUAGGGGCAUGCGGAACUGUAGGUGGAGCGGUGAAAUGCGUUGAUAUCGGAAGGAACGCCGGUGGCGAAAGCGACACACUGGGUCUCAACUGACGCUGAGGCACGAAAGCCAGGGGAGCAAACGGG